rnacentral:rRNA from 1 species
AUUGAACGCUGGCGGCAGGCCUAACACAUGCAAGUCGAGCGGAUGAAGGGAGCUUGCUCCUGGAUUCAGCGGCGGACGGGUGAGUAAUGCCUAGGAAUCUGCCUGGUAGUGGGGGAUAACGUCCGGAAACGGGCGCUAAUACCGCAUACAUCCUGAGGGAGAAAGUGGGGGAUCUUCGGACCUCACGCUAUCAGAUGAGCCUAGGUCGGAUUAGCUAGUUGGUGGGGUAAAGGCCUACCAAGGCGACGAUCCGUAACUGGUCUGAGAGGAUGAUCAGUCACACUGGAACUGAGACACGGUCCAGACUCCUACGGGAGGCAGCAGUGGGGAAUAUUGGACAAUGGGCGAAAGCCUGAUCCAGCCAUGCCGCGUGUGUGAAGAAGGUCUUCGGAUUGUAAAGCACCUUAAGUUGGGAGGAAGGGCAGUAAGUUAAUACCUUGCUGUUUUGACGUUACCAACAGAAUAAGCACCGGCUAACUUCGUG